ACAGUGGUAACAAGCUCAGCCACCUCUAGACUAAGCUUUGGUUUUUGUGCUCCUUUGCAGGCAGAGAACCUGACUCUAGGAUUUACUGCCUCAGAAGACUCUGUGGCUAAAAACUACCUACAGACUUUGCUUCCUGAAUUAUUGUCUUUGACUGGAUUUCACUCUGGCUGGCAGCCAUCCUGAUUCCUUCGUUUCUCUGCAUCUGGACACCAAGCGUAUGCUGUCCACCCUCCUACGUAAGCCAUUACAACUUGGAUUACCUCACGGUUUUUGCUCACCUCAGAACAACACCAGGAGAAAACAUCAAGACGAACACUACUUAUAUGGACUUAAACCCUGAAUCCCUCAACCCCUGGCGACCUGACUACAUCAAACUAUUGGAGAUUUACUCGUCGUUUUUCCUGAUUAUUAGUCACUCAAUAAACAUACUUUUUACUGA